UACGGAAGGCAGCAGUGGGGAAUAUUGGACAAUGGGCGAAAGCCUGAUCCAGCAAUGCCGCGUGAGUGAUGAAGGCCUUAGGGUUGUAAAGCUCUUUUACCCGGGAUGAUAAUGACAGUACCGGGAGAAUAAGCUCCGGCUAACUCCGUGCCAGCAGCCGCGGUAAUACGGAGGGAGCUAGCGUUGUUCGGAAUUACUGGGCGUAAAGCGCACGUAGGCGGCUUUGUAAGUUAGAGGUGAAAGCCUGGAGCUCAACUCCAGAAUUGCCUUUGAUACUGCAUGGCUUGAAUCCAGGAGAGGUGAGUGGAAUUCCGAGUGUAGAGGUGAAAUUCGUAGAUAUUCGGAAGAACACCAGUGGCGAAGGCGGCUCACUGGACUGGUAUUGACGCUGAGGGUGCGAAAGCGUGGGGAGCAAACGAGGGAUUAGAUACCCGU
rnacentral:rRNA from 1 species